GAUGAACGCUGGCGGCGUGCCUAAUACAUGCAAGUCGAGCGAACAGACGAGGAGCUUGCUCCUUUGACGUUAGCGGCGGACGGGUGAGUAACACGUGGGUAACCUACCUAUAAGACUGGGAUAACUUCGGGAAACCGGAGCUAAUACCGGAUAAUAUUUCGAACCACAUGGUUCGAUAGUGAAAGAUGGCGUUGCUGUAACUUAUAGAUGGACCUGCGCCGUUUUGGCUAGUUGGUAAGGUAACGGCUUACCAAGGCAACGAUACGUAGCCGACCUGUGAGGCUGGUCGCCCACACUGGAACUUAGCCACGCUCCAGGGUCCUACGGUAGGCACCAGUAGGGAAUCUUCCGCAAUGGGGGAAAGCCUUACGGAGCAAGGCCGCGUGAGUGAUGACGGUCUUGGGAUCGUAAAACUCUGUUAUUAGUGAAGAACAAACGUGUAAGUAACUGUGCACGUCUUGACGGUACCUAAUCAGAAAGCCACGGCUAACUACGUG
rnacentral:rRNA from 1 species